rnacentral:misc_RNA from 1 species
AAGUCGUAACAAGGUUACCGUAGGUGAACCUGCGGUUGGAUCAUUAAUAAAUGUUUCUAACACUAAGGGGUUCUUAGUCGGGCUUCGGUCAGACUCUGAAUCCCUUUACACCCAUACCUGUGAAUUGUUAUUGAAUGGACUCGUGUUGACUUGGCUUCGGUCAAGAAGACACCAGUUCCAACCACUUUAAACAUACAAAGACCUUUUUUUGAAAAGGAUAUGAACCGAGGAGCAAUCCAAGGGAAAUUGACUAAUUAAAGAAAAACAACUUUUGACAACGGAUCUCUUGGCUCUC